rnacentral:rRNA from 1 species
GUGGGGAAUAUUGCGCAAUGGGGGAAACCCUGACGCAGCAACGCCGCGUGAUUGAAGAAGGCCUUCGGGUUGUAAAGAUCUUUAAUCGGGGACGAAUAAAUGACGGUACCCAAAGAAUAAGCUCCGGCUAACUACGUGCCAGCAGCCGCGGUAAUACGUAGGGAGCAAGCGUUAUCCGGAUUUACUGGGGGUAAAGGGCGAGUAGGCGGGCCGACAAGUUGGGAGUGAAAUCCGGGGGCUUAACCCCCGAACUGCUUUCAAAACUGUUGGUCUUGAGUGAUGGAGAGGCAGGCGGAAUUCCCAGUGUAGCGGUGAAAUGCGUAGAUAUUGGGAGGAACACCAGUGGCGAAGGCGGCCUGCUGGACAUUAACUGACGCUGAGGCGCGAAAGCGUGGGGAGCAAACAGGAUUAGAAACCCCAGUAGUCC